ACCCGUUCCGAGGGGUGCUCCGAGGAGGAGCUGAGAUACCGCUAAAUGGGCAAUCCGCCAACACCGGCUGCCCAAGACCGCGGUGACCCUUUGAACCUGAUCCGGGUCAUGCCGGCGAAGGGACAGGGAUGUUGCAGACCA
rnacentral:ncRNA from 2 species